GCGGGUGUAGCUCAGUUGGUAGAGCNCCUGUUUGCCAUACAGGAGGUUUUCGAGGGUUCGAACCCCUUCACCCGCU
rnacentral:tRNA from 1 species